rnacentral:rRNA from 1 species
CCUACGGGAGGCAGCAGUGAGGAAUAUUGCACAAUGGAGGAAACUCUGAUCCAGCCAUGCCGCGUGCAGGAAGAAGGCCCUAUGGGUUGUAAACUGCUUUUAUACAAGAAGAAACCUUGGUACGUGUACCAACUUGACGGUAUUGUAAGAAUAAGCACCGGCUAACUCCGUGCCAGCAGCCGCGGUAAUACGGAGGGUGCAAGCGUUAUCCGGAUUUAUUGGGUUUAAAGGGUUCGCAGGCGGAAUUUUAAGUCAGUGGUGAAAUCCUACAGCUCAACUGUAGAACUGCCAUUGAAACUGAUAUUCUUGAGUAUAGAUGAAGUGGGCGGAAUAUGUCAUGUAGCGGUGAAAUGCAUAGAUAUGACAUGGAAUACCAAUUGCGAAGGCAGCUCUACUAAACUAUUACUGACGCUCAUGAACGAAAGCGUGGGGAGCAGAACAGGAUUAGAUACCCUGGUAG